rnacentral:misc_RNA from 1 species
AAGUCGUAACAAGGUUUCCGUAGGUGAACCUGCGGAAGGAUCAUUACAAAUCCACCUGCUGCUGCUGGCCUGGCGCGCGCGCACGUGCGUUGGGUCAGCAUGCAUGCAUACACCACGUUGAAAUGUUCCGGGCGGGGUCCCCCCCCCUGGUGCUCGCCUCCACCCCGUAAGGGGCGGAAGGGCAGGGCAUCAGGUGGGGUCCCGCUUGGCGUGUUCUCUUUUGACACACACACACUUGUCUACAUCAUCAGUUGCUUCAAGGGAGGGAGGGAUGGAUACGCGUGAGCGUACCCGUCCACCCACCAACAAACACAACAACAACCUAGAACAACUUAUAACAAUGGAUCUCUAGGCUCUU